GUGCGUGCGGGUCUAUACAUGCAGUCGAACGCUUUGUCUUUAACUGAUAUGACGAGCUUGCUCUGAUUUGAUUUUAUCUGACAAAGAGUGGCGAACGGGUGAGUAACACGUGGGUAACCUACCUCUUAGCAGGGGAUAACAUUUGGAAACAAGUGCUAAUACCGUAUAAUACCAACAACCGCAUGGUUGUUGGUUGAAAGAUGGUUCUGCUAUCACUAAGAGAUGGACCCGCGGUGCAUUAGCUAGUUGGUAAGGUAACGGCUUACCAAGGCAAUGAUGCAUAGCCGAGUUGAGAGACUGAUCGGCCACAAUGGGACUGAGACACGGCCCAUACUCCUACGGGAGGCAGCAGUAGGGAAUCUUCCACAAUGGGCGCAAGCCUGAUGGAGCAACGCCGCGUGUGUGAUGAAGGGUUUCGGCUCGUAAAACACUGUUAUAAGAGAAGAACGGCACUGAGAGUAACUGUUCAGUGUGUGACGGUAUCUUACCAGAAAGGAACGGCUAAAUACGUGCCAGCAGCCGCGGUAAUACGUAUGUUCCAAGCGUUAUCCGGAUUUAUUGGGCGUAAAGCGAGCGCAGACGGUUAUUUAAGUCUGAAGUGAAAGCCCUCAGCUCAACUGAGGAAUGGCUUUGGAAACUGGAUGACUUGAGUGCAGUAGAGGAAAGUGGAACUCCAUGUGUAGCGGUGAAAUGCGUAGAUAUAUGGAAGAACACCAGUGGCGAAGGCGGCUUUCUGGACUGUAACUGACGUUGAGGCUCGAAAGUGUGGGUAGCAAACAGGAUUAGAUACCCUGGUAGUCCACACCGUAAACGAUGAGUGCUAGAUGUUCGAGGGUUUCCGCCCUUGAGUGUCGCAGCUAACGCAUUAAGCACUCCGCCUGGGGAGUACGACCGCAAGGUUGAAACUCAAAGGAAUUGACGGGGACCCGCACAAGCGGUGGAGCAUGUGGUUUAAUUCGAAGCAACGCGAAGAACCUUACCAGGUCUUGACAUCCCUUUGCUAAUCCUAGAAAUAGGACGUUCCCUUCGGGGACAAGGUGACAGGUGGUGCAUGUUGUCGUCAGCUCGUGUCGUGAGAUGUUGGUUAAGUCCCGCACGAGCGCAACGUAAUAUUAGUUGCAGCAUUCAGUGGGCACUCUAUGAGAAAUGCGGUUGAAAAAUCGGAAGAAGGUGC
rnacentral:rRNA from 1 species